UCACCCUCUGUCGAAGUAUCUGAGGAUCAUCAAAUGAGAUCAACAAAGGAGCCCUGCUUUGGUUUGGCAACUGGAGGCUGGUGAGGCUCUCUCACUAGCCAGGCGCUGGCUUUGGCUCAGGAGCUCAGAAGCCCAAGAGCAAACAGCCAUAUGUCAUGAACCUUCAUGAGCACUUCCAAAUAGUUGAAACCAAGAACCUUCAAAUGAUGAGGCAAGACUAUGAACGUCAAGGUCAGCUGUGGGGACUGCUCCUGACAGGCCGGGAUGCCCUGUGAUAGGCAGAACAGAAGCUGAAGUAGCUCUGUGGAAUGCAUACGAUCCAAGUGCAGAAAACUCAGAGAGAGCGGAGUCCAAAGGAGCCAUUUUACACUGUGCGGUCUUCAGAAACCGAGGCCCGCUCAGUCGUGAAGACAAACAUGGCGGAUUCUCCGAGAAGACGGAGCGCAGCUGUGACCAAGAUGGCCGGUCGAUCGCAGCGUGCCGGGAUUGAUUGAUUCUCCCACGGGCUCCGCCGGAGAACCAACCUGCUGCCUCAGCACUGAGCAUGUAACUCCCCAUGAGCAAGACUGCCUUCUUGCUUACACUCAGGAAAAACAAAAUUUAUACCACCACCAAAACUAGGAUUGACAGAUCAUCUAAUGAAAAGUGUAGACAAACUCCAUGAAUGGCAUGGCAGGCAGAACUGGGUGGAGGCAACACCUACCUACAACAGUCUUCACCUCAAGCACGUCCAGGAUUCAGUUCAGGAAACUGACAGCACAUAAAAGACGUUGGAAGAUAUGUUGUAUUAAUAUAUCCCUGCAGUCUGCUCUCUCCUUCUGGGACCCAGGAUCUGAACACUGCAACGACCAGAGAAUUACACUGGAGUUCUUUGUGAUUCCACUCCCAUCCCAGUCCCCUUUUAAUCUAUAUUCAUUGAGAGAUA